UACAGAGGGUGCGAGCGUUGUCCGGAAUCACUGGGCGUAAAGGGCGCGUAGGUGGCGACCCAAGUCUGUGGUGAAAGCUCGACGCUCAACGUCGAGUCGGCCUAGAUACUGGGUUGCUUGAGCACUGUAGAGGCAGAUGGAAUUCCGGGAUGUAGCGGUGGAAUGCGUAGAGAUCCGGAAGAACACCGGUGGCGAAGGCGGUCUGCUGGGCAGUUGCUGACACUGAGGCGCGGACAGCGUGGGGAGCAAACAGG
rnacentral:rRNA from 1 species